rnacentral:rRNA from 1 species
CAAGGCUAAAUACUCCUGACUGACCGAUAGUGAACCAGUACCGUGAGGGAAAGGCGAAAAGAACCCCGGCGAGGGGAGUGAAAAAGAACCUGAAACCGUGUACGUACAAGCAGUGGGAGCACCCUUUGGGGUGUGACUGCGUACCUUUUGUAUAAUGGGUCAGCGACUUAUAUUCUGUAGCAAGGUUAACCGAAUAGGGGAGCCGGAGGGAAACCGAGUCUUAACCGGGCGUUAAGUUGCAGGGUAUAGACCCGAAACCCGGUGAUCUAGCCAUGGGCAGGUUGAAGGUUGGGUAACACUAACUGGAGGACCGAACCGACUAAUGUUGAAAAAUUAGCGGAUGACCUGUGGCU